AUUGAACGCUGGCGGCAGGCCUAACACAUGCCAGUCGAGCGGAUGAAGGGAGCUUGCUCCUGGAUUCAGCGGCGGACGGGUGAGUAAUGCCUAGGAAUCUGCCUGGUAGUGGGGGAUAACGUCCGGAAACGGGCGCUAAUACCGCAUACGUCCUGAGGGAGAAAGUGGGGGAUCUUCGGACCUCACGCUAUCAGAUGAGCCUAGGUCGGAUUAGCUAGUUGGUGGGGUAAAGGCCUACCAAGGCGACGAUCCGUAACUGGUCUGAGAGGAUGAUCAGUCACACUGGAACUGAGACACGGUCCAGAGUCCUACGGGAGGCAGCAGUGGGGAAUAUUGGACAAUGGGCGAAAGCCUGAUCCAGCCAUGCCGCGUGUGUGAAGAAGGUCUUCGGAUUGUAAAGCACUUUAAGUUGGGAGGAAGGGCAGUAAGUUAAUACCUUGCUGUUUUGACGUUACCAACAGAAUAAGCACCGGCUAACUUCGUG
rnacentral:rRNA from 1 species